CAGUAGCCGCGGUAAUACGGAGGGUGCAAGCGUUAAUCGGAAUCACUGGGCGUAAAGCGUGCGUAGGCGGUUCGUUAAGUCUGUUGUGAAAGCCCCGGGCUCAACCUGGGAAUGGCAAUGGAUACUGGCGAGCUAGAGUGUGUCAGAGGAUGGUGGAAUUCCCGGUGUAGCGGUGAAAUGCGUAGAGAUCUGGAGGAAUACCGAUGGCGAAGGCAGCCAUCUGGCCUAAUACUGACGCUGAGGUACGAAAGCAUGGGGAGCAAACAGGAUUAGAUACCCCUGUAGUCCCUGUCUCUUAUAA
rnacentral:rRNA from 1 species